rnacentral:lncRNA from 13 species
CCAUUUUUCCAUUUCCAUUGUCACAGCAGAAACUAUUGGUUUCUCACACAGCAGCUAUUGUCCUUUCUUUUCUUUUUCUUUCUUUCUUUUUUUUUCUGAGACGGAGUCUCGCUCUGUUGCCCAGGCCAAAGUGCAGUGGUGUGAUCACAGAUUACUGCAGCCUCAACCUCCCAGGCUCAAGCUAUCUUCCCACUUCAGCCUCCCACGUAUCUGGGACCACAAGCCUGUUUCACCAUGCCCAGCUAAUUUUUACAUUUUUUUUUUUUUUUUUUUGUAGAGAUGGGGUUUCACUGUGUUACCCAGGCUGGUCUCAAAUUCCUGGACUCAAGCAAUCCUCCUGUCUUGUACUCCCGCCAUGCUAGGAUUACAGAUGGGAAAACAGAGACUCUGAGAAGUAGGAGACUUGAUCACGGUGACUCAAAGGCAGAGCGAGUUCCGAUGAGGCAGCCUGGUUCCUGCUUAGUUGCUUUUCCCAGAGGAGGUUCCCCGCUGGCCGUCUCCCCAAAGCCUGUCCUCCUUGUGUGGCUGGGAGGAGAGAGGAGGUCCUGGAGCAGGAACAGCCUUGCCUGUGGGCAGAGCUAACUCUGGCUAAAACUGAGCACUUUCUGCCCACCCCGUCUGGCUCUGAAUUACCUCCAGGCUGCCUGGGCAAGGGCCCGCCACUCCCCUUUCUCCCACCCUCCUCCCAAACUCCCGGUCUCAAGGAAGCUGCAGCUGUCAAUCCUAUCACUGUGCGCUUGGCCACAAUGCAAAGGCGCCUCCUGGUGUUUGCAUUUGAAUAGAGACCGGAGCCCAAAG